CUUUUUUCCAAUUUCUUUUAAAAGAAUGCAACGAAUACUAUUCCCACAAUAGGAAAGAGCUUUUCAAAUUUCUAAUCCAAAUAGGAACAUAAGUGAGUGUAUAACUUAAUCUCAGCCUUCUAUUCCAAUCAUCUCUCUAAAUUUCCUUGUCCAGUUGAAGUUCACAGGCGCUUGACGUUUGGAAGGCCAUAUUCUUCUCACUAGAAUCUGAAAGGGAGUCUGAUUCUGUGUUGUUCCAAGUUAGUGGCAUGGAUUCCAUCAGCUUGUGAAUUCACAUGAUUUAUUGUGCUUUUAUGAUCAGGGAGUUUGUCAUCUAAUUUACGGUUCAUUCCUUCAUUCCAUUUGGGGUCAUUUCUUGGAUGAUUUGGUUUGAUUAUCAAUUUAAAAACCUAUUGAAUAAUGCUUCACAUAACUUGUUUUCAAUUAAUUUAUCUAUUAAUAUGACUUGAAACUGGAGAUUUGGCUGCUUGCUUUGCAGGAGUCCCUUUCUUUCAUCAAGCUAUAGGCUAAGGGUUAAAAAACAAGAUCUUAUCAGUUUGUUGAGAGUUGUUUGCGUUGAAGACUGGCUUCUUCUAGAUCUCAAUCUCCAUUUCUUGAUUUUAUGCCUCCCGAAUCCUAAUUAUGAGAGAUUUGAGCGUGUCUAGGAUUCUAUAAGCAUAGAGAGCAAAAUGUGGAUAAAAUAUAUUGAAAAAUGUGUUCUCUUGACUCUCUUGCUUAAAAUUUGGCAUUGUACUUUCUGUUGGAGCAAGUGUCCUAAAAAAUUGAAAAGCAGCUUUCUUAGGUCUCCCUCUCAAAUUUAUGAUUGACGUUCUCUAAUUAGUUGUGUAAUUGGAGUACUGAUUAUGCGAUUUUCUAAGGCUCUAUCAACUUGUGGAACAAUAUACAUUGUAAGUUUAGAGUAUGGAUUUUGCUAGAGCUUGCUCUUCAAUUUAUGCAUUGAUUGAUUGAUGAUAA